CAGAAACAGGGACUGGCUGUGUUCUCUCCUCCUCAUAAAACACUCAUCAGCUGCAGACAGGGAUGGACCUGAUGCUCUGUGUUGCUUCUCUGCCUGCCAAAGCUUCAGGUCUGACUGCAUGCUUCAACCUGGAGCCUAAGCCAGGCUGAAAUCCAGCCUUAAGCUCAAGGACAGACAUUCCACCUCAGCACAAAGUGGCCAUGAAGGGUUGGAAGGAGGAUGUGCACAGAGCUGUGGAAAUUAGGAGGAAAAAAUGGUGACCUGUGACUUCAGCAAAAGUGAGCCAAGGGAAAAUAUGAAUGCUCACGAUGGCACCUUGCAGCUGGUGCCCAGCACUGACCAGCUCAGCAAGAGCCCAGAGAAGCCGGUCCUCGUGCCAGCACGGUGCUACCCGCAGCCGAGCAUCCCUCCGGCAGAGCCGCAGCAGGGACCUGUGCCCAUGGACGCUGGGUGGUACCCGCAGCCGAGCAUCCCUCCGGCAGAGCCGGGGCAGGGACCUGUGCCCCAUGGACGCUGGGUGCUACCCGCAGCCGAGCAUCCCUCUGGGAGAGCUGGGGCAGAGACCUGUGCCCAUGGACGCUGGGUGGUACCCACACCUCCCCGAACACCGCAGCUCACCCAGGAGGAUGCUGCUCCAGCUUUUCUCCUCCUCUCGCAGGAGGGAGGAGAGCAAACCCCACAGUGACACGCACCCGGGACCGCAUCCUUCUCCAGUCACCCUCCCUCCUCCUCUCUGCUCUUUUCUCUUUCUCUCCUUCAAUUUCUGUCUCCACCAUGACUUCCCCUCCCUGCCACUUUUACACAUGCCUCCCUUCCCAUUUUUAUCUCUGGAUACCAAAGAAGAUUAGACUUUCUCUAAUUACAUAUCUGUUUGUUGGUGGUGUCUCCAAGCUUUGCCUAAAAGCUGCGUUGCCUCAGAUGUUCUUGCGUGCAGGCUUUCUGCUUGGUUACACUUGUUUAUUACUCGUUCAUUAGCUUUUUUACAUUGCUGGAGAUCUGAGCCGCUCACAUGGCAAAGGAGGCUCGAAGUGACAGCACUGAAAGGCGCUGCUAGUGAGAUUAUAGCUGCUGGCUGGCGGGGCUGGGAGAGCCGCAGAGGGCAAGGCGGGAGCGCUGCCUUUGUGCGCGGCUCAAAGGGCCCUGUCAGCCGGCGUCAGGCAGCCUCCUGGAAAAAAGGAACUUUCCAAAACCCCAUGAGAACUGGUUAAAUUAACCCUUUCCCUGGCGGCCGCCCCCCGAGGGGCUGCGGGCAGAGGCAGGGGAGCUGCUGAGCUGCCCUCCCACGGGUACGUGUGUUCCGCA